UACGGAGGGGGCUAGCGUUGUUCGGAAUUACUGGGCGUAAAGCGCACGUAGGCGGCUUUGUAAGUUAGAGGUGAAAGCCCAGGGCUUAACCCUGGAAUUGCCUUUAAGACUGCAUCGCUAGAAUCGUGGAGAGGUGAGUGGAAUUCCGAGUGUAGAGGUGAAAUUCGUAGAUAUUCGGAAGAACACCAGUGGCGAAGGCGACUCACUGGACCAUUACUGACGCUGAUGCACGAAAGCUAGGGGAGCAAACAGG
rnacentral:rRNA from 1 species